CCCACUGGUCACUCCAGAUGCUGCAGCAUGGUGACACGCAAGACUAAGUUCAUUCAAAGCACCAAGAGAUUUUCAGGGCUCAUAUCACAUCGUGCUGCAGCCAUUAGGGCCUAAAAGGAUAUCAUUGUCUCAAAGACAAGCAAGCCAUAUUCCAGAUGUCCAAAGUAUUCGAAAGAGGAUGUUUAUUAAUGACCUGGGGACUGAAGAUAAACAGGCUGCACAAAAAUAUCCGCAGCGAUACAAUGGCGAAGUUGACCUUUGCGUGCCAGAGGUCUGGGCAGCCCAGGGAACCUCCUGGUAGGGGUGCACAGGCUGAGAGCUUCUCCUUACACACUCGUAUAGGUAAUAACAGAUUGCAACGCUGCAGACGAGGAAUACAGACCUGCUGGGGAAGUGUCUUCUCCCAUUGUAUGCUACAUGAUCAAUUAUAAUGAGAGAAAAUUCUGGCCUCAUCGCUCACGUCAAAAGGAGCAACCAAUCCAUCUUCGCGUAACAAACACUGCCACGAGGACAAAGGGAGGUUUUACCAGUUUUUCCUUUUGGACACCCAUAAUUUAUAAACCCAUUGCAAUAUUUCUGCUGGAUCGACAUCCACGCAAAAGCAGUAACCACAGUAGAAGAAAUAUCCCUUUCCCUUAGCUUCACAUCCCCCCGCCUGGCACAUGAAACCUCCCAGCUCACAAUCAAUAAUGCAUGUGCCGAGCGGGCUGCAAUCCCUCUCCUCCAUCCCCACACACACAUUCCUGUAGGGAAACACAGACGGUUUCCAAUUGCACACCCUCAAAUCUGGUGAGGCUGGGGCUCCGUUAUAACCGUGGAGGUGAACUGCCCAUGUCAAGGACACGCUGCUCAUGGCUUUUCUGCCCACCCAAUGCAUUAAGUGCUGUCAGUCCCAGCUGAUUACACACAUCGCAGGCUAACAGGAGUCAGCUGGAAUUCGGCAGCAUUUCCAUUUGUUCCUAAAGACCGACCCAACAGCAUCAUUUCUGCCGGUGCCUUUAACUCAUCUGGAAGAAGCAGUUUCACGUUUGGCUGGAGUGAAGGCCUGUUGUUUCAGAAGAGACCAGUUUAUCCAGACUGCUCGUGCAUCACCAGUUUAAGGGCCCCUCAGCAAACAUGCCAUUUUGUCUGCAAUCUGUAUGGUGUUUACCUAACCUAUUUCUCAAGCUCUCCCAAGAGGAAAUGCUAAACAUUAUCAUCAGUUGACACAGGUUAACUCUUCUGCUUAAUACAUCCCCACAGGAGGUAUUACAAACAAACACGUAUCAGCUGGCUUUAAGCAGGGAAAUAACUCAGGCCCCCAUCACAAGCUUUGUCCAGCUGUAUUCAUGCUUCACUGAAAUUUCUACCUUGAGGUCAAAAGUUGAAAAAAAAAAAAAAGUCUUCUUACUAUUGUAUUUAUAAUGUUCUUAUUGGCAAUGAGCUGAGCUGGCUGGAUCAUUGAACUAAUCCUUGUAUUCACUGAGUGGAAACUCCAAAACGUUGACAAAGUGCUUCUAUUUAAUCUCAAGGAAUGCUUUUUGUUCUAAACCAGAGGCGUCUAAGACAUUACAAAUUAUACCAAGAGGCUUCCAGUUUUAUCACAGCAGCCUGAUAUUUGGAAGAGAAAAGAUCCAAAAUGGAACUGUUUGAGAAUUUUUCAACUUUUUUUUUUCUUUUUUUUUUUUCCUUAGUGUUACAUAUCAGCCUUUCAAAAUUGAAGGUUUUAAUG